UACCAUCCUUCACAGGUGUAAUCUGUAACCGUGGGAACCCAGAUCUUUUUAAAGGAGACAGGGUUGGAAAAUAAGGUCUCCACUCCCCACAGGCUGAGAUAACCAUCACUAAAUAGCAUAGGCUUGGGCAGGGAGACACAUCUGGUAGGAAGGGGUCAAGGAGAGGCUGAGGAGGCUGCAGAAGGGUCAGGGUCAGGCAGAUGAGAAAAGGAAAAUGCUACAAAAAAAGAACAAGACACAAAAAGAUGGU
rnacentral:lncRNA from 12 species